CCUUCUAUAGCUCAGCUGGUAGAGCAGAGGACUGUAAAGGUGAUAAGCUUCUGUCAUCCUUAGGUCGCUGGUUUGAUUCCGGCUCGAAGGA
rnacentral:tRNA from 1 species